rnacentral:lncRNA from 1 species
GGAAAAGUACGUAUGAAGUACUUUGAAACACAAAUAAGGAAGUGAUUUGCAUUGAGCGAAUCAGGGGAGGCUUCAUGGAAGAGCUGAUACCGGAAGGCUGAGUGGAGGGUUUCCUUGCAGAGAAGGAGAGAGCAUCCAAGUAGAGGGAGCUGUGAUAGAAAGAGGAGGAACUCAGUUCCUGCUUGAUUACUCUGAAGUUAAAGAUUUUUGGAAACAGUGCUUCACAAAUGAUGCUGAUGCUUCAUAUUGUAUCACAUCGGGAGAUGCAUAAUGUAAGAUUGGUCUAAUUUUAGUAAUGAUAAAAUUGACCUAGGUUAAGGUGGGAAGGAACCGGAUUUCUCCACUGUCUUUACGGAUUUCCCCUGAUGACUGACACACAAUCCCUGGCUCUAUGUGAAUAUCCUGUUCCCUAUCGCACUUUUACCUGUUGGUCUCAUGAUCCUGGUAUGAAUUAAUCGUUUCAUUAGGGACUGCAAAAUGGUGAAUUUCUAAUUCUAUCCUUCAUUUUACAUUAUUUAGCUGGCAUACUUUUGUAAAGGGAACUGUUUCCUCACCAACUGGGGCCAUUUGGUUACCCUGAAAUACAUCUGCAACUAGAAAAGCAGGCUAAAUGUUUAUUUUCUUAGAUUACCAGUUUUCAGAGUAAAGUUGGUGUAAAAGUCACUACCAGUAGUAUGGCAGACAAAGUUUUUUUAAGUUUUUUUUCUUUUCUUUUUUAGAUUUGUUUACUCUCGUGGGGAAAUUAAUUUUAUGUUUGACAUUUUAAAUCAACUGCAGUUAUUUGUGAUGCUUAAAUCAUUCUAACUUUGACCAGUGGGCAUUCCUUCAAGUUGGCUUCUGUGUCCUUUUCAGAGAACUUCAUUUUUUAAUACCUCCUGAUUUUCUGUCGCAAGAUGUUCUGAGUGCUCCUCUUAACCCGGCAUCAGCCAAUUCUCCAAGGAACCCUGGUACCUUUUAGUGGAAAAGUGGUAUUUAAAAAUCAAAACCUGGGUGCCAAGGAUAGUCAUUACUUUAAGGCUCUGAGUUUAUUAUUAAUUUUCAUUUCAAAGUUUACAAUAUAGAGUUUGUAUGUCAUUGUUACUAUACCUCUUUACAUGGGAGCUUUUACCCUGAUAACAUUAACAAAAUUACUUUUAAUAUUUAUAUGAACCCUAUGAGAUAUGGGAUCAUAUCUUACGUUUAUAACUUGUUAUCAUAAUUUGUUACAAUCUCUAUUUUAAAAGGAGACACCAGAGACAAGAGGCGUCCGAGGUUCAAUUCAGUCCUUCAGUCGUGUCCGACUCUUUGUGACCCCAUGGACUGCAGCAUGCAGUCCUGUCCAUCACCAACUCCCCGAGCUUGCUCAAACUCAUGUCCAUCGUUACACGUCCAGUAAACAGCACAUCCAAGUAAACAGCAAAUAAACUUUACACGUUCGAGAUUACA